GCGUCGGUAGUAUAGUGGUAGUACGCGGCCUUGCCAAGGCUGUAACGCGAGUUCGACUCUCGCCCGACGCA
rnacentral:tRNA from 1 species